GUGCCCGUAGCUCAGCCUGGAUAGAGCGUUUGCCUCCGGAGCAAAAGGUCAGAGGUUCGAAUCCUCUCGGGCAUACCA
rnacentral:tRNA from 1 species